rnacentral:rRNA from 1 species
CUUACGGGAGGCAGCAGUGGGGAAUAUUGCACAAUGGGGGAAACCCUGAUGCAGCAACGCCGCGUGAGUGAGGAAGUAUUUCGGUAUGUAAAGCUCUAUCAGCAGGGAAUCGAAACGAAGGUACCUGAAAAAGAAGCCCCGGCUAACUACGUGCCAGCCGCCGCGGUAAUACGUAGGGGGCAAGCGUUAUCCGGAUUUACUGGGGGUAUAGGGCGUGUAGCCGGGCUGACAAGUCAGAUGUUAAAUCCGGGGGCUCAACCCGCGAACUGCAGUUGAAACGGUUGGUCUUGAGUAGCGGAGAGGCAGGCGGAAGUCCUAGUGUAGCGGUGAAAGGCGUAGAUAUUAGGAGGAACACCAGUGGCGAAGGCGGCCUGCUGGACGACAACUGACGGUGAGGCGCGAAAGCGUGGGGAGCAAACAGGAUUAGAUACCCCGGUAGUC